GUUUACUCGUCGAAGAAGAAU
rnacentral:misc_RNA from 1 species